CUAUUUUCUAUGAUUUCAUUUUUCAAGGGUCCGUUAGUAUGGUCCGUUGGUGGUAUCUGAUGCAGCCUGAAGGAGUUCUUGUCACAAGAUCCUGUUGUGAAGACACUGCCAACGAUCACAUAUUUCUGAGUUCUAGCAGGUAUGAUUUGGAGCGACAUGAGGGUAAAUAAAUGCCGAAAGGUUUUCGGGUUUGGUUGAACUGGUCUUUUUAAUUGAGAUAUCACAGCAGCAGCCCAAUAAGAACAACUACAGCUUCAUCCAGAUGACACCUCCAGUCAGAGCCAGCACGAAGACCGCCAGUACACCCACAAGGACCUGGAGGAGAGUGAAGGAGCAGACCCGAUGUCUGAGCUGGUGGCUGCUCACAGCAGGCCUCAGAGACUCCUUAGAGGCUUCCAC